GACGAACGCUGGCGGCGUGCUUAACACAUGCAAGUCGAACGGAAAGGCCCUGCUUGCAGGGUACUCGAGUGGCGAACGGGUGAGUAACACGUGGGUGAUCUGCCCUGCACUUCGGGAUAAGCCUGGCAAACUGGGUCUAAUACCGGAUAGGAGCCAUUUUUAGUGUGAUGGUUGGAAAGUUUUUUUCGGUGUAGGAUGAGCUCGCGGCCUAUCAGCUUGUUGGUGGGGUAAUGGCCUACCAAGGCGGCGACGGGUAGCCGGCCUGAGAGGGUGGACGGCCACAUUGGGACUGAGAUACGGCCCAGACUCCUACGGGAGGCAGCAGUGGGGAAUAUUGCACAAUGGGCGCAAGCCUGAUGCAGCGACGCCGCGUGGGGGAUGACGGCCUUCGGGUUGUAAACUCCUUUCGCUAGGGACGAAGCUUUUUGUGACGGUACCUAGAGAAGAAGCACCGGCUAACUACGUG
rnacentral:rRNA from 1 species